CUGGGUUCAAUACCUGGGCAUGUUGUUCUUUGUAUUUUUAGCAUUUUUUGUGACUCUCUCAUAUUUCUCUUAAUCCUCACAUUUAAUUACUACUUAAUUAAUAUGUUUCUUUUGUUUAUUCAUUUUUAUUUUUAAUAUAACUUAAUUGAUUUUUUCUUUCUUUGGGAUUUAUGUAAAAUAUAAUUUUUUAGGUGAGGUGUGUUUAAAUCAUGAUAAGUCAUCUUAAUGGCUUUGAUAAAAAGAAAAACCAUUCAAAAAAAUAAUAAUGAUAAAUAUCACAU
rnacentral:lncRNA from 1 species